UACGUAGGGUGCGAGCGUUAAUCGGAUUUACUGGGCGUAAAGCGUGCGCAGGCGGCCCGUUAAGACAGGUGUGAAAUCCCUGGGCUCAACCUAGGAAUUGCGCUUGUGACUGGCGGGCUCGAGUACGGUAGAGGAGGGCGGAAUUCCCGGUGUAGCGGUGAAAUGCGUAGAUAUCGGGAGGAAGGCCGGUGGCGAAGGCAGCCCCCUGGGCCUGUACUGACGCUCAUGCACGAAAGCGUGGGGAGCAAACAGG
rnacentral:rRNA from 1 species